UGAGGAAUAUUGGUCAAUGGGCGGGAGCCUGAACCAGCCAAGCCGCGUGAGGGAGGAAGGCCCUAUGGGUCGUAAACCUCUUUUGUCAGGGAACAAAAGCGAGUAUGUAUACUAGUCUGAGUGUACCUGAAGAAAAAGCAUCGGCUAACUCCGUGCCAGCAGCCGCGGUAAUACGGAGGAUGCGAGCGUUAUCCGGAUUUAUUGGGUUUAAAGGGUGCGUAGGCGGCGGUGCAAGUCAGCGGUAAAAGCCCGGGGGCUCAACCCCGGCGAGCCGUUGAAACUGCAGUGCUAGAGAAGGCGAGAGGUACGCGGAAUGCGCAGUGUAGCGGUGAAAUGCUUAGAUAUUGCGCAGAACUCCGAUUGCGAAGGCAGCGUACUGGCGCCUGGCUGACGCUGAGGCACGAAAGCGUGGGGAUCGAACAGGAUUAGAUACC
rnacentral:rRNA from 1 species